UUGAACGCUGGCGGAAUGCUUUACACAUGCAAGUCGAGCGGCAGCGCGGGGCAACCUGGCGGCGAGCGGCGAACGGGUGAGUAAUGCAUCGGAACAUGUCCAUGUCGUGGGGGAUAGCCCGGCGAGAGCCGGAUUAAUACCGCAGUACGCCCGAGAGGGGAUAGGGGGGGACUCGCAAGGGCCUCACGCGAUUGGGUUGGCCGAUGUCCGAUUAGCUAGUUGGUGGGGUAAAGGCUUACCAAGGCGAUGAUCGGUAGCUGGUCUGAGAGGAUGAUCAGCCACACUGGGACUGAGACACGGCCCAGACUCCUACGGGAGGCAGCAGUGGGGAAUUUUGGACAAUGGGGGCAACCCUGAUCCAGCCAUUCCGCGUGAGUGAAGAAGGCCUUCGGGUUGUAAAGCUCUUUUGUCCGGAACGAAACGGAUUAGCGUGACAAUACUCGCUGUCUACUGACGGUACCGGAAGAAUAAGCACCGGCUAACUACGUGCCAGCAGCCGCGGUAAUACGUAGGGUGCGAGCGUUAAUCGGAAUUACUGGGCGUAAAGCGUGCGCAGGCGGUUUGUAAGCCAGAUGUGAAAUCCCCGGGCUUAACCUGGGAAUGGCAUUUGGGACUGCAAGGCUGGAGUGCGGCAGAGGAGACUGGAAUUCCUGGUGUAGCAGUGAAAUGCGUAGAUAUCAGGAGGAAUACCGAUGGCGAAGGCAGGUCUCUGGGCUGACACUGACGCUCAUGCACGAAAGCGUGGGGAGCAAACAGGAUUAGAUACCCUGGUAGUCCACGCCCUAAACGAUGUCGACUGGUUGUUGGGGGUUUGACACUCUCAGUAACGAAGCUAACGCGUGAAGUCGACCGCCUGGGGAGUACGGCCGCAAGGUUAAAACUCAAAGGAAUUGACGGGGACCCGCACAAGCGGUGGAUUAUGUGGAUUAAUUCGAUGCAACGCGAAAAACCUUACCUACCCUUGACAUGUCCGGAAGGCUUGAGAGAGCAGGCUGUGCCUCGAAAGGAGAACCUGGAACACAGGUGCUGCAUGGCUGUCGUCAGCUCGUGUCGUGAGAUGUUGGGUUAAGUCCCGCAACGAGCGCAACCCUUGUCAUUAGUUGCUACAUUCAGUUGAGGCACUCUAAUGAGACUGCCGGGGUGACAACCGGAGGAAGGUGGGGAUGACGUCAAGUCCUCAUGGCUCUUAUGGUAGGGCUACACACACGUCAUACAAUGGCGCAGGACAGAUGGUUAAGCCACCCGGCGACGGGGAGCCGGAUCGCCAGAAACCUGCGUCACAGUCCGGAUUGAAGGCUGCAACUCGACUGCAUGAAGGCGGAAGUCGCUAGUAAUCGCGUGAUCAGCAUAGUCGCGGUGAAUACGUUCCCGGGCCUUGUACACACCGCCCGUCACGUACCAUGGGAGUGGGUCAACACAUGAAGUCAGGUGGCCGAACCGCGAGGGAGGCAGCCUAGCCGACGGUGAGGCUUCAGUGACUGGGGAU
rnacentral:rRNA from 1 species